CCUCCGGGCCUCCUGCGUGUCCUGGUACCUGGGCCGAGGCUUGUUUGCAGGAAGAGGGUUUGGAGGUGUGGUCAGGGGAGGUCCGGCCAGCUCUCGGGCGCGGGGUCCUGGGGGAGGUCUUGGCCUGAGCUAGGUUGGAGCCGUGAGGCUGGAGAGGAAGGGAACAGUGGAGGUUUCAAAGGAACGAGGGAGGCUUGGAAAGGAGGGGCGAGCAGGUUCUCCAGGGGGUUGUACAGGAAGGAGAGAGGAGUGGGUCCAGGAGGGAUGUGGCCCAGGGAGGGGCAUUGGGGGCAGCAGGGUGCCUGGGAGGCCUCCUGGAGCUGAGGAGGGAGGGGCCUGUGCUGCCAGCAGCAGGUCUGAGUCCCGGGGGCUUGGAGGCUGAGGCGUGGGGUGGGGAGGCUGGGGACGGCCGGAGGAGGUGGCUUCCGCCCAGGCCUCUGGUCCCUUGAGUAUGGAGACUGGUGUUAGGUUGUAGCACAGGAGCCCAGGCAGGCCGAGGCCAGCGAGGAGGUCUGCGUGGCCUGAGGCAGGCUAGGAGGAUGCUGAGGCUGGGGUGGCUGAGCCCUGCUGUGCUGAGCGCCCUGCCUGAGGGCCUCACCCGCUCUGCCUGGAUAGUCCAACAGCUGUGCUGCGGGGAACUGAGGCCCAGAGGCUGAGCCCUUGCCUGCUGGGCCCUGCCCUGCUGCCCACUCGAGCGCCCUCCCGCUCCCUGCUGGCCCUCGGGCCCCACAGCUGCCCGCUGGCCCUGACCUGCGCUCCCUCCCUCCCCAGUGGCACAUCAUCCUGGGGGGGGCCGUGUUGCUCACAGCCCUGCGUCCUGCUGCGCCAGGGCCCGCGCCACCGCCGCAGGAGGCCUGAG
rnacentral:sRNA from 1 species